CUAGCAUAUCAAUAAGCGGAGGAAAAGAAACUAACAAGGAUUCCCCUAGUAACUGCGAGUGAAGCGGGAAAAGCUCAAAUUUAAAAUCUGGCGGUUCUGCCGUCCGAGUUGUAAUCUGGAGAAGUGUUUUCCGUGCUGGACCGUGUACAAGUCUCUUGGAACAGAGCGUCAUAGAGGGUGAGAAUCCCGUCUUUGACACGGACUACCAGUGCUUCUGUGAUACACUCUCAAAGAGUCGAGUUGUUUGGGAAUGCAGCUCAAAAUGGGUGGUAAAUGCCAUCUAAAGCUAAAUAUUGGCGAGAGACCGAUAGCGAACAAGUACCGUGAGGGAAAGAUGAAAAGCACUUUGGAAAGAGAGUUAAACAGUACGUGAAAUUGUUGAAAGGGAAACGCUUGAAGUCAGUCGCGUUGCUUAGGAUUCAGCCUUGCUUUUUUGCUUGGUGUACUUCCUGGGUGACGGGCCAACAUCGAUUUUGACCGGUGGAUAAAGUCGAGGGGAAUGUGGCUCCUUUGGGAGUGUUAUAGCCCUUUGUCGCAUGCAUCGGUUGGGAUCGAGGACCGCAGCACGCCUUUUUGGCCGGGGUUCGCCCACGUAACGUGCUUAGGAUGUUGGCAUAAUGGCUUUAAUCGACCCGUCUUGAAACACGGACCAAGGAGUCUAACAUGCCCGCGAGUGUUAGGGUGGAAAACCCUUGCGCGUAAUUAAAGUGAAAGUUGGGACCCUUGUCAUGGGGGGCACCGACGCCCGGCCUUGAACUUCUGUGACGGCGCCGCGGUAGAGCGUGUAUGUUGGGACCCGAAAGAUGGUGAACUAUGCCUGAAUAGGGCGAAGCCAGAGGAAACUCUGGUGGAGGCUCGUAGCGAUUCUGACGUGCAAAUCGAUCGUCAAAUUUGGGUAUAGGGGCGAAAGAC
rnacentral:rRNA from 1 species